rnacentral:rRNA from 1 species
GGAUUAGAUACCCUGGUAGUCCAUGCUGUAAACGAUGUCGACUAGCCGUUGGCCUUAUUAAAUGAGGUUAGUGGCGCAGCAAACGCGAUAAGUCGACCGCCUGGGGAGUACGGUCGCAAGAUUAAAACUCAAAGGAAUUGACGGGGGCCCGCACAAGCGGUGGAGCAUGUGGUUUAAUUCGAUGCAACGCGAAGAACCUUACCUGCCCUUGACAUAGAGCGAACCUGGUAGAGAUAUCGGGGUGCCGAAAGGAACGUUCAUACAGGUGCUGCAUGGCUGUCGUCAGCUCGUGCCG